GACGAACGCUGGCGGCGUGCUUAACACAUGCAAGUCGAACGGAAAGGCCCUGCUCUUGUGGGGUGCUCGAGUGGCGAACGGGUGAGUAUCACGUGAGUAACCUGCCCUUGACUUUGGGAUAACUUCAGGAAACUGGGGCUAAUACCGGAUAGGAGCUCCUGCUCCAUGGUGGGGGUUGGUAAGUUUCGGCUGUUGGGGAUGGACUCGCGGCUUAUCAGCUUGAUGGUGUGGUAGUUGCUUACCAAGGCUUAGACGGGUAGCCGGCCUGGGAGGGGGACCGGCCACAUUGGGACUGAGAUACGGACCAGAAGCCUACGGGAGGCAGCAGGGGGAAAUAUUGCGGAAUGGGGGGAAGCCAGAGGCAACGACGCCGCGUGCGGGAUGACCGGCUUCGGGUUGAAAACCGCUUUCGACGGUGACGAGGAGGGAGUGACGGUAAUGGGUAAAGAAGCAACGGCUAACUACGUG
rnacentral:rRNA from 1 species